UAAGGCAUUAAUAAGUGUUUUAUAAUGACGAAUAAAGAGCCAACAUACUGCUAAUAUUCAUGUUAAUAAACAACUAGUUGAUGGUGAAUUUGUGUACCUUAAUAUAGUGCUAUUGUGUUAUCAUAAUGUUUGCCGUUGUAUUAAUCACAGUAUUUGUGCUGUUGUAUUAUUCACAGUGCUGUACCUUAGUGUGUCCGAACUUGUACUGGCUGUGGUCAAUGUCUAGAGAACCAAGCAGUUUCUCCACAGCCUUUCUGCUGUCCACAAACGAGUCCUCAGGAAUUGCAUUAGGAUUGAGGAUGCGGUAACUGAGAAAGAAAAGUAUAAAUGGGUUAUUUAUGAGAAGCAGUCUCGAAAGUACUUACAGAGGGAAAACCCUGAUGACUUAAAAGACAAAACUGAUCAGUAAAACAACGGAAAUGUAAACCUGUGUGGUUAGGUUUGGGACUGACCGUUGUUUGAACUCAGCAUACAGGAUGCGGUUUGGGAAGCCCUUCCUGCAGAUCCUGAUCCCCUCGAGGACUCCAUUACACCUCAGUUGGUGGAGGACCAGGAAAGGAUCCAUCAAACCUGGAGAACAGAUAAGGAUUCUUGAAAGAUCUUAAAGGUCUGAUCAACAGUCAACUCACCUUGUUGAGCUGUGAAACCGUUUGGAAGGAAGCAGCUCUCCUUUUCUUGUGUUUGCCUUCAGCAUUUGGUUCUCCAGCUGAAACAACAGAAAUAAUUACACCUGUUUACAACGUACACUUACACCAUGUGUUACGACUGCCGCCUUCCUGGUCGUUUUAAAUCUGUUAACUUAUGUUAUGCAAAUGAGCUGUGCGGUUGCCCUGACGUCAUUGGCUGCCAUCUCCUGGUCCGCCUCCUGAAGAUUGUGAUUGGACUGUUGCCUUUAGUUUAGCUGUGUUUUGUACAGACUCUUUUUUUUACAUUACAUUACAUUACAUUGCAUUUAGCUGACGCUUUUAUCCAAAGCGACUUACAAUAAGUACAUUGGACCAGGAAGAUACAACCUUUGUUAGCUGUACCACUUUGAAAGUGAGGUUUUGUUUUGUUUCUUAUUUAGUAUUUAGUGUUCCCUUGUAUACAAUUAGACUCCUUUUGUUAGAGUCCUCCUUUUGUUUGGUUCCUGUGCUCUUUUGGCCUUUUUUGUUGUUCCAGGCUGCAUGCCUGCCAUUUUGUUUACCUCUGCUAUUUAAAAUAAACCCAUUAUAAUUAUACCAA